GCCGGGAUGGCGGAAUUGGUAGACGCGCUAGACUCAAAAUCUGGUGAGAAAUUUCUCGUGCCGGUUCAAGUCCGGCUCUCGGUACCA
rnacentral:tRNA from 1 species